AUUGAACGCUGGCGGCAGGCCUAACACAUGCAAGUCGAGCGGUAACAGGUCCUUCGGGAUGCUGACGAGCGGCGGACGGGUGAGUAAUGCAUAGGAAUCUGCCCGGUAGUGGGGGAUAACCUGGGGAAACCCAGGCUAAUACCGCAUACGUCCUACGGGAGAAAGGGGGCUUUGGCUCCCGCUAUUGGAUGAGCCUAUGUCGGAUUAGCUAGUUGGUGAGGUAAUGGCUCACCAAGGCCGCGAUCCGUAGCUGGUCUGAGAGGAUGAUCAGCCACAUCGGGACUGAGACACGGCCCGAACUCCUACGGGAGGCAGCAGUGGGGAAUAUUGGACAAUGGGCGAAAGCCUGAUCCAGCCAUGCCGCGUGUGUGAAGAAGGCCCUCGGGUUGUAAAGCACUUUCAGCGAGGAAGAACGCCUAGGGGUUAAUACCCCCUAGGAAAGACAUCACUCGCAGAAGAAGCACCGGCUAACUCCGUGCCAGCAGCCGCGGUAAUACGGAGGGUGCAAGCGUUAAUCGGAAUUACUGGGCGUAAAGCGCGCGUAGGUGGCUCGAUAAGCCGGUUGUGAAAGCCCCGGGCUCAACCUGGGAACGGCAUCCGGAACUGUCAAGCUAGAGUGCAGGAGAGGAAGGUAGAAUUCCCGGUGUAGCGGUGAAAUGCGUAGAGAUCGGGAGGAAUACCAGUGGCGAAGGCGGCCUUCUGGACUGACACUGACACUGAGGUGCGAAAGCGUGGGUAGCAAACA
rnacentral:rRNA from 1 species